rnacentral:rRNA from 1 species
CUUUGCACAGGUGCUGCAUGGCUGUCGUCAGCUCGUGUCGUGAGAUGUUGGUUAAGUCCCGCAACGAGCGCAACCCUUGUCAUUAGUUGCCAUCAUUUAGUUGGGCACUCUGAUGAGACUGCCGGUGACAAACCGGAGGAAGGUGGGAUGACGUCAAGUCCUCAUGGCCCUUAUGGGUAGGGCUUCACACGUCAUACAAUGGUCGGUACAGAGGGUUGCCAAGCCGCGAGGUGGAGCGAAUCCCAACAAAGCUGGUCAUAGUUCGAAUUGCAGGCUGCAACUCGCCUGCAUGAAGCUGGAGUUGCUAGUAACCGCGCGUCAGCUAUAGUGCGGUGAAUACGUUCCCGGGGCUU